GUUUGGAUCAUCAGCACUGAUGCUGAGGUCACCAAGAAUGAUGACAGGGUAGGAGAAGAACAAGGUGCCCAGUUCACCAGGCAAAGUGACCAGGAGGAUGAUAAGGUGACACUAACUAGCAGAAGUGGUGUCUUCGGCGUUCUUCAAUGUGGAUUUCUUAUUCCCUCAAUGAGUUGCAAGUUUGGACAGGAACCCCAGAUGUGCCUCUUUGCACCACUCAAGUCCAGCGCAGCGCCUGACAUGAAGUGGGUGCUUCUCAAAUGUUUGUUGAUUGAGUUGGAUACAAAUGAGGAGCUGAGAUCUCCAACCAAUAGCCAGCAUCAAGUUGCCAGCCAGGUGUUGGGCUAAGGACCAUCCGGACAAGUGUCAGAGCUUCUUUUUAAAUGAUAAGUUUCACACCAGUCUGAGGUGUACUUCCGAAGCCAAAGGUCUCAGGAAGGAGAUGCCUUGGGCUGACAGACCUCGUCCACAGAUGACCUCAAAUGCAUAGGUGACAAACAGCCAAGCGAGACUCCUGGGGCUGUUGACUUAAUGCAGUUCCCAAGAUUAGGAAUUGACUCGAUCACUUUCAUUAGAAUAAGUCAACCCAGCCACAGAUUGACCUGCGUCAAGCCCAUGUUUCCAGCGUGUGGAAGCUCAACCCCUACCAUGAAAACACAGUGAAAACCUCUGCAGGGUUUCCCAGUGAAACUGGUUUCCUUCCCCAUCACCGGGACAUGGAGGCACAAGACAACCACACUUCACAAGAUCGCGUGAGACAACCACACUUCACAAGAUCACGUGAGCUCAUGUCCUGGAAGUCCCCACCCUCUCCUCUCUCGGUACCUGAGAUUCUGGGAAAUCACCUCUCUUUUCAGCCUCUAGGUUUCCUUGUUAUUAGGCGCAUUGAGCUUCUCUGAAGCAGGUGGCUGCAGGGGAGCUGAGAGAAAGGAAGAUGAAGUGAGGCCAUACAGCCCCUCAAGGAGACAGCUCUCAACCUGAAAACUCCAGAAACCUUUGUCAAGUUUCCUCUCAGCUGCCACCCCUCGGAGAUGUUGACUUCAUCUGGGGUUACAUUCCUACGGCUUCUCUGAAUAAAUGAGUGGUCAGCCAA